GCCUCUACCCUCAGCCUGGUCAAAACCAGAGGGAGGGGUCACAGAGCCCUCACCCCCUCUUUCUGCAGCUAAGGAACCUGAGGCAUGGGGUGUCUGGAGACGGGAGCAGAGCAUUGGGACCUCCGGUGAGUCGGGGACAUCUUGGCCCAACAUGGAGGUCCCGGGGCCCCCGGUAUCCGGGAAGCCAGGGGAGACGUCGGUCAAAUGGCAGCUGUGCUACGACAUGACUGCGAAGAUGUGGUGGAUGGUCUUGCCUUAGCAUGUGAGUCUGUCUUAGCAAAACUCCACACGAGUCUAUAUCAACUGACAAUUUCCUGCCAAUCAGCCUGAGUCUGCCGAAGAGGCAAGAAGCCACCAGCGCACCACCAGAAGUUUUUUGGUUCAUUUCUCUUAUGGAGUCUCAACAAAUGGAGCCCAACUACUCAAUGUAAGGCACUAAUAAAUACAUGCAUGCUGUUAGUGA